AUCAGCUGCCAAGAGGAAUGAAGAAGUGGUUACACACGCACGUCCAUCAACGAGACAGCUGCUUCAGCCAAUUGACGAGUUCUUCCUUUUUCUCUGCUUCCUGUCAGUGGGUUUGAAAGAGAGGGACCUUGCAAACCACUUCAACGUACACCAGUCCACUGUGAGCCGCAUCAUUGCAACAUGGACGAGUUUUCUUACAACUUUAUUGGGGUCACAGUGCAUCUGGCUUACACCUGCAGAAGUUCAAGCCCACCUCCCAGAGGCAUUCAAAGAUUUCCCAGACACACAGGUGAUCCUGGAUUGCACAGAGCUGAGGUGUCAAACACCAUCCUCACUCCUCCUCCAAAGUGAAAUGUAUUCUACAUACAAAUCUCACUGCACCAUGAAAGCCCUGGUUGGCAUAGCCCCACAUGGCGCAGUGACAUUUGUUUCCAGUCUGUAUGGUGGUUCUGUCAGCGACAAGGAGAUUUUCAAACAAUCUGGAAUAGCUGCGUUGUUGACUGAAAACAUGGCAGUGAUGGUAGAUAAGGGCUUCCUGAUCAGCGAUUGCUGCAAAUGCAAGGUGUACUGCCCACCUUUUCUGUCAAAGCAGAAGCAAAUGCCAGCCUAUCAGGUGAGGGAGACACAGGCCAUUGCCAGACUGAGGGUUCAUGUGGAGCGUGUCAUUAGGAGGAUAAAAGAGAACAAACUUUUUGAUGGUGUCAUCCUCCUGUCCCAUGCCUACAACAUCAACCAACUGUUUGCAGUAGCAUGUAUGCUGUCAAACUAUCAGAACAAAGCACUGGUCAAGAAAUGGGUGAAAUAAGACAAGAUGAUGACACCUGUGCAGGUAGCUGUGAUUAAGCUGGGUGAGCACACCGUAAUCCCGUGUUGCCUGACACACGCUAGUGUUUUGUUUGAAUAAAUGGUAAAUAGCAAAUUA